UACAGAGGUGCCGAGCGUUAGGCGGAAUCACUGGGCUUAAAGCGUGUGUAGGCGGACUUCUAAGUACCUUGUGAAAUCCCACGGCUCACCCGUGGAACUGCUGGGUAUACUGGUCGUCUUGAGCCACCUAGGGGCGAGCGGAACAAAUGGUGGAGCGGUGAAAUGCGUAGAUAUCAUUUGGAACGCCAACGGUGAAAACAGCUCGCUGGGGGUGUGCUGACGCUGAGACGCGAAAGCCAGGGGAGCAAACGGG
rnacentral:rRNA from 1 species